rnacentral:rRNA from 1 species
GAUGAACGCUGGCGGCGUGCCUAAUACAUGCGAGUCGAGCGAACAGACGAGGAGCUUGCUCCUCUGACGUUAGCGGCGGACGGGUGAGUAACACGUGGAUAACCUACCUAUAAGACUGGGAUAACUUCGGGAAACCGGAGCUAAUACCGGAUAAUAUAUUGAACCGCAUGGUUCAAUAGUGAAAGACGGUUUUGCUGUCACUUAUAGAUGGAUCCGCGCCGCAUUAGCUAGUUGGUAAGGUAACGGCUUACCAAGGCGACGAUGCGUAGCCGACCUGAGAGGGUGAUAGGCCACACUGGAACUGAGACACGGUCCAGACUCCUACGGGAGGCAGCAGUAGGGAAUCUUCCGCAAUGGGCGAAAGCCUGACGGAGCAACGCCGCGUGAGUGAUGAAGGUCUUCGGAUCGUAAAACUCUGUUAUUAGGGAAGAACAAAUGUGUAAGUAACUAUGCACGUCUUGACGGUACCUAAUCAGAAAGCCACGGCUAACUACGUG